CGUCUAACCAGCCACUGACGACGACUGACCAGUCCGCAGAGGCAUCCGUCUAGAUAGGAUGGAUUCAAACAACACCGGUGGGUUGGCUGUUUAUAUCACAUCAUCGUGUCAUUGACUCCCAGGCUGGGUGACAUGAUUCAAUCUUAAUCCUUCGAUGCCAAUCUGACAAUUAAGCUUGAGCCACAUGAUACGAUGAUGGUUCUACUGGAAGCAGCCUGUAACUUGAGUUCUUCGGAUUUGACUAUAUGUGAAAACCGCAUCUUUUCGAUGAUAGAGACCGCAGAAGUAAACCCAAUUAUUAAGGGCUUGAAAUUUGGACCAAAGCGAGUGUCAUCAACUUUGGCCGCAAUGCUACUAUACCAAGUAGAAUAAAAAAAAUACAAAUGGAACUUGGAAUAAGGACUGAUCUUCCUGGUUCCUCGUCAAAUUCCAUGUAUAGAAAAAAAAUAGUACAUG